rnacentral:rRNA from 1 species
AUGGCGGUAAAGAAACAUCUAUUUUGCUUUGGAUCACUCGCGAUAAAGGACGGGUCCGAGAUACGUGUUUGGGAGGACAGGUGGCUAGGAAACACCACUCUCCAGGAACAGUAUCCAGCCUUGUACCGAAUUGUACGUGAUAAGAAUGAUACUCUUGCGCACGUGCUCAGCUCCUCCCCGCCGAAUGUAUCAUUUAGGAGGGAUUUGAUUGGCCUCCGCCUUGCGUCGUGGCAACAUCUUCUAUCCCGUUUGGAUUCGUUUAACUUGACACAAGGGAGGGAUGUGUUUCGCUGGAAUCUCACUACAUCUGGAUCCUACACAAUUGACUCUAUGUACCGUGCACUCUCGCACUCAGAGGUUCCAUUGGAUAAUAAUAAACUAUUAUGGAAAUCAAAGAUGCCACUAAAAAAUAAGAUGUAG